rnacentral:rRNA from 1 species
UAACGCUGGCGGCCGCCUAACACAUGCAAGUCGAACGCGCUCCCGCUUUUCGGAGGGGGAGCGAGUGGCGGACGGGUGAGUAACACAUGGGUACCUGCCCCGAGGUGAGGAAUACCGGCGAGAAAUCGCCGACAAGACCGCAUAGGCUUGGGCCCGAGAGGAUCCAAGCAAAGCUCUCUCGUAAGGGAGGGCGCCUGGGGAGGGGCCUGUGGCCGAUUAGCUGGUUGGUGGGGUAAGCGCUCACCAAGGCGACGAUCGGUAGCUGGUCUGAGAGGACGGGCAGCCACACUGGGAUUGAGAACGGCCCAGACUCCUACGGGGGGCAGCAGUGAGGAAUUUUCGGCAAUGGGGGCAACCCUGACCGAGCAACGCCGCGUGCCGGAAGACGGCCUUCGGGUUGUAAACGGCUUUUCUUGAGGAAGAGAAGAGGGACGGUACUCAAGGAAGAAGCCCCGGCUAACUACGUGCCAGCAGCCGCGGUAAGACGUAGGGGGCAAGCGUUGUCCGGAGUUACUGGGCGUAAAGGGCACGCAGGCGGCUGCGCGCGUUUCCGGUGCCAGCCUCACGCUUCACGUGGGGA